AGCUCCAAUAGCGUAUAUUAAAGUUGCUGCAGUUAAAAAGCUCGUAGUUGCAUUUCCGAGGCAAGGGAUUAGUCCGACCUUUGGUGGGUAUUUAAUCCUCUUGCCUCGUCCUUGAGUGGUGCUUCUUGGUAUUAAGUUAUCGAGGAGAUAGCCGCUCAUCGUUUACUGUGAGAAAAUUAGAGUGUUCAAAGCAGGCUUAUGCCGUUGAAUAUAUUAGCAUGGAAUAAUAAGAUAGGACCUCGGUACUAUUUUGUUGGUUUGAGAACCAAGGUAAUGAUGAAUAGGGACAGUUGGGGGUAUUCGUAUUCAGUUGUCAGAGGUGAAAUUCUUAGAUUUACGGAAGACGAACUACUGCGAAAGCAUUUACCAAGGAUGUUUUCAUUAAUCAAGAACGAAAGUA
rnacentral:rRNA from 1 species